rnacentral:rRNA from 1 species
GAUUAACGCUGGCGGCAUGCCUAAUACAUGCAAAUCGAACGAAGCCUUUUGGCUUAGUGGUGAACGGGUGAGUAACACGUAUCCAAUCUACCCUUAAGUUUGGGAUAACCGGUCGAAAGAUUAGCUAAUACCGGAUAAUAACACCCACUUGCAUGAGUGAAUGUGGAAAGUUGCGUUUGCAACGCUUUUGGAUGAGGGUGCGACGUAUCAGAUAGUUGGUGGGGUAACGGCUCACCAAGUCGUUGACGCGUAGCUGUACUGAGAGGUAGAACAGCCACAAUGGGACUGAGACACGGCCCAU